rnacentral:rRNA from 1 species
AUUGAACGCUGGCGGCAGGCUUAACACAUGAAAGUCGAACGAGUGGCGGACGGGUGAGUAAUGCUUGGGAAUCUGGCUUAUGGAGGGGGAUAACGACGGGAAACUGUCGCUAAUACCGCGUACCAUAGGAUGAGCCCAAGUGGGAUUCGGUAGUUGGUGGGGUAAUGGCCUACCAAGCAGACGAUCUCUAGCUGGUCUGAGAGGAUGACAAGCCCCACCGGGACGGGGACAGGGCCCGGACGCCUCCGGGAUGCAGCAGUUGGGAAUAUUGCGCAAUGGGGGCAUCCUGACGCAGCCAUGCCGCGUGAAUGAAGAAGGCCUUCGGGUUGUAAAGUUCUUUCGGUGACGAGGCGUUAAUCACAGAAGAAGCACCGGCUAACUCCGUGCAAGCCGCCGCGGUAAUUC